rnacentral:rRNA from 1 species
AAUAGAGAAAUAACGCUGAUGAUUGUGGAUAACUCUGUGCGUAAAAAGGUAUAAAGCGGGGUUUUGCUGGGGAAUGCAGCAGUCAGUCAUUUUUCUGCAAUUUUUCUAUUGCGGCCUGCGGAGAACUCCCUAUAAUGCGCCUCCAUCGACACGGCGGAUGUGAAUCACUUCACACAAACAGCCGGUUCGGUUGAAGAGAAAAAUUCUGAAAUUCAGGGUUGACUCUGAAAGAGGAAAGCGUAAUAUACGCCACCUCGCGACAGUGAGCUGAAAGCCACGUCGCAACUGCUCUUUAACAAUUUAUCAGACAAUCUGUGUGGGCACUCGAAGAUACGGAUUCUUAACGUCGCAAGACGAAAAAUGAAUACCAAGUCUCAAGAGUGAACACGUAAUUCAUUACGAAGUUUAAUUCUUUGAGCAUCAAACUUUUAAAUUGAAGAGUUUGAUCAUGGCUCAGAUUGAACGCUGGCGGCAGGCCUAACACAUGCAAGUCGAACGGUAACAGGAAGAAGCUUGCUUCUUUGCUGACGAGUGGCGGACGGGUGAGUAAUGUCUGGGAAACUGCCUGAUGGAGGGGGAUAACUACUGGAAACGGUAGCUAAUACCGCAUAACGUCGCAAGACCAAAGAGGGGGACCUUCGGGCCUCUUGCCAUCGGAUGUGCCCAGAUGGGAUUAGCUAGUAGGUGGGGUAACGGCUCACCUAGGCGACGAUCCCUAGCUGGUCUGAGAGGAUGACCAGCCACACUGGAACUGAGACACGGUCCAGACUCCUACGGGAGCAGCAGUGGGGAAUAUUGCACAAUGGGCGCAAGCCUGAUGCAGCCAUGCCGCGUGUAUGAAGAAGGCCUUCGGGUUGUAAAGUACUUUCAGCGGGGAGGAAGGGAGUAAAGUUAAUACCUUUGCUCAUUGACGUUACCCGCAGAAGAAGCACCGGCUAACUCCGUGCCAGCAGCCGCGGUAAUACGGAGGGUGCAAGCGUUAAUCGGAAUUACUGGGCGUAAAGCGCACGCAGGCGGUUUGUUAAGUCAGAUGUGAAAUCCCCGGGCUCAACCUGGGAACUGCAUCUGAUACUGGCAAGCUUGAGUCUCGUAGAGGGGGGUAGAAUUCCAGGUGUAGCGGUGAAAUGCGUAGAGAUCUGGAGGAAUACCGGUGGCGAAGGCGGCCCCCUGGACGAAGACUGACGCUCAGGUGCGAAAGCGUGGGGAGCAAACAGGAUUAGAUACCCUGGUAGUCCACGCCGUAAACGAUGUCGACUUGGAGGUUGUGCCCUUGAGGCGUGGCUUCCGGAGCUAACGCGUUAAGUCGACCGCCUGG